rnacentral:tRNA from 1 species
AGCCCUAGUAGUAUAACACCAUUACCCCGGUCUUGUAAACCGAAAACGGAGCACCCGCUCCCUAGGACA